CCUCAUUGUUUUCUCUAUGGUCCUCCAAUCGAAGCGAAUCCCAACAAAGAGGAACAGUAACGCUUGCAUCUUCCUCAUCAACGUCGUCAACAUUAUCAAAAUUAUCACUUCCUAUAUUCAAACGAUCUAAACCAUAUUCAUCCCCUGAAUGCAAAUCUAUAGAUAACGUGUUCUCGUUGUCCUCUGAAUCAGAAUCCGACCCAAACCCAACAACCCUCAUGGCACUAGUGCAAACGCUAACGGUAGACUCGGCCUCACAAGAUUGGAUUCCGGAAAUCCUUCUUUCCACAAAGAAAUCAUCAUCAUCCAUAACGAUAUUUGUGCUAUAAUCAUUAUUAUUAUGAAUAUGAUUAUGGCCUAUAUUUUGAAAUUCAUCAUUCUCGUGACCAUCUAAACCUAACCCUAACCCUAUAUCAAGUUCCAAAUUAUCGAUACCCAUUUCAC
rnacentral:misc_RNA from 1 species